UAUUGCCAUAAUUAUUUAUAUACCUGUCCUGGUGCUGGUCUCUGUAUUUUUAAUGUGACACGUCGUGUGCACUGAGCCGUCAGUUCCAGCUGUCAGUGUGCUGCGAUCAGCUGACAGGCACCUCACUGUGCUGUGAGUGCUCAGAGGUGGCUGUCCGGCCCCCAUGUGAUCAUGUCUGUAGACACAUAUCAAUAUUUUAUGCAAGUGUGCCCCCCCCCUGCACAGCACAUGUGUUGGGAGGAGUGGGGGGGUGGGGGGUGGGUGAUACACUCGCCCACGUGCAAUACACACGCUCGCUACGUGUGUUGCUUUUUACAACACCACACUCAUGGGGGAACUUAGACAAAUUUCACAUCCAGCAUGAAAGUGAUCGUCUGCUCACUGUUUUUUGCUAACAACGCGAAUGGCCACACAUUUUCUAAGUAUCCAGCGAGCGGUGUUGGAUGUUCGUGUGUGUCACCUGGAAUUUGGCCUACAUCUGCUGCGAGAGGGAUCAAAUGGGCUGUGACAGGGCACUCUGUCUUUUGGCCGCUAGUGUGCGCGAAUAGCUGUAAUGACAGGUGUACGAGGCGUUGGAGGCAGCUCCGAUUUUUCACAAAUGGCAUGCAAUUCCUCCUUUGUGCGCUCCUCGGCUUCAGUCGUGUUACGUGUGAAGGGACUCUUAAAAAUGCAGAACCUCAAGAUCUUUAUCUGAACUUCACUUCAAUCUCAGCUGGCAUCAACAAACUGAGUUACAGCAACAAAAUGACAGGCAUGAAAAUCAAACAUGCAAGCUCCCACAAAACGGAAGGAUUAUGUAGCCUGAUAUUACAUCCACACCAUCAUGUUCUUCUGACAUCCAACACAGACAAGUCCCCGUCUUUCCAGACACUACAACAUAUAAUGUCUUCACAGUUUAUCACCAACUACCUUCUAAGAUGUCUUCCUGAGAUUGUGGCAUUUACUUGAAGUCUUUCCAAAUGAAUUUCGGCAAUGUUUCUUCGAUACUUUAAACAGUGGACCAGGUUGAAACGUGCAUCUAAUCUAAACCGUUUGAAGUCCUAUGUCAUAUUUUAUAAGUGCCUGCAAAUUACUGCUAAACACACUGUUUAGUAUUUUAAGAUGAUGCAAUCCUAAAAACUGACUGAAGCUUGACUAAAAGAACAAUGUGUAACAUUUCUGAAUAUUAUUGUACUAUCAGGUAAACCUUUCAGUUUAGUAGUAACUAAACUGAAUGUCGCAUCUCAACAUUAAACAACAUAACACUGAAUAUCUUUCUUCUGGUGGAACGCUUUAGACAUAUAAUGUACUGUAUAUUGUGUCAGGAUAGAACAUAAUAGUUAAAAUCCAUUAACAUUUUUUUUAAUAAAGAUCUUCAAGCUUUGCCACCAGACCCAGUAUUUCUAUUUUUCAACACACAGUUACUCAGAUGUCAAUCUUCUUUUAAAAAGCAGCACAUUAUAUCCAUAUUUUAUUUUCUAAUUAUAUAUUAUUUCUGCUUUGCAUGAUUUACUGACUUUUAAACAAUGCAAAAAUGAAAUCCAUGAAAGCAUAUUUGUUUCAUUUUGAAAGGAUUGAAGGAUGUAUUUUAAUGAGGAUUAUCAAGCCUUGUUUAAAAUGGUAUAUUUAUAACUGUAACAAGGAGUUUUAUUGUAACACCUCAGCAAUGUAAAUAAACACUGAACUUAAAUGCA